GAAAUGCGAUAAUUAAUGUGAAUUGCAGAAUUCAGUGAAUCAUCGAGUCUUUGAACGCACAUUGCGCCCCCUGGUAUUCCGGGGGGCAUGCCUGUCCGAGCGUCAUUGCUGCCCUCAAGCACGGCUUGUGUGUUGGGCUUCCGUCCCUGGCAACGGGGACGGGCCCAAAAGGCAGUGGCGGCACCAUGUCUGGUCCUCGAGCGUAUGGGGCUUUGUCACCCGCUCCCGUAGGUCCAGCUGGCAGCUAGCCUCGCAACCAAUCUUUUUAACCAGGUUGACCUCGGAUCAGGUAGGGUUACCCGCUGAACUUAAGC
rnacentral:misc_RNA from 1 species